CAGUAACGCGUAUAGAAUCUGCCUUCGUACAGGAGGAUAGCCUUUUAGAAAUGAAGAUUAAUACUCCAUAAUACUGAGAUGUGGCAUCACAAUUUAGUUAAAGAUUUAUCGGUACAAGAUGACUAUGCGUCCUAUUAGCUAGAUGGUAAGGUAACGGCUUACCAUGGCAACGAUAGGUAGGGGGUCUGAGAGGAUUAUCCCCCACACUGGUACUGAGACACGGACCAGACUCCUACGGGAGGCAGCAGUGAGGAAUAUUGGUCAAUGGAGGCAACUCUGAACCAGCCAUGCCGCGUGCAGGAAGACUGCCCUAUGGGUUGUAAACUGCUUUUAUACAGGAAGAAACAGUCGUACGAGUACGACCUUGACGGUACUGUAAGAAUAAGCACCGGCUAACUCCGUGCCAGCAGCCGCGGUAAUACGGAGGGUGCAAGCGUUAUCCGGAAUCAUUGGGUUUAAAGGGUCCGCAGGCGGUCAAUUAAGUCAGAGGUGAAAUCCCAUAGCUUAACUAUGGAACUGCCUUUGAUACUGGUUGACUUGAGUUAUACGGAAGUAGAUAGAAUAAGUAGUGUAGCGGUGAAAUGCAUAGAUAUUACUUAUAAUACCGAUUGCGAAGGCAGUCUACUACGUAUAUACUGACGCUCAUGGACGAAAACGUGCGGAGCGAACAGGAUUAGAUACCCUGGGUAGUCCACGCCCCUACACGAUGGACACUAACUUGUUGGGGCUUCGGUUUCAUUGACUAAACGAAAAGUGAUUAAGUGUCCCUCCCUGGGGGGGGUACGAUCACCAGGAUUGGAAACUCAAACGGCACUUGACUGGGGGGCCGGCGCCACGCGGGUGGAACCAU
rnacentral:rRNA from 1 species